rnacentral:lncRNA from 1 species
CCACAGAGGGAAAGAAAAGCCAACAUGUUAUACUUGUCCCAGAGAUCUUUCUUGCAGACAUCUAUCACUGCAGCUGCCCACUGCCAGCUCCAGGUUCUUGGACAAGGACGAAGCUCAGGAGCCCCAGAUGACUGUAGGAAAAGGAGGAAUCAUAUGGACACACAAGUCAAGUCUCAGUCUCCAAUACUGCCCUGCUAGGCAUACAGAGAAUGUGACAUCAUUCAAAGCUCCCUUCAGUGCCCACAGCCCAGCUUCUUGCCUUUCUUCAGGGAGCUAAUAUCCUAAUUGCGGCGCAUCGUUAAUUGCUUCCAUUUCUUCAGGCAUGACUGACAGUAUCUGACUCCAACACCACCUACUCUUCUUUUUGGCUUCUGUUUCCCAGUGUGGUGAACCUGCUGAAGAGCCAUUGCAAUGCAAACCCCAUGCAGAUAACAUGUACACCAGGUUCCAUGUAUGCAGGGCCCUACCCUUCCUGCCUCUAUUCAUCUGGUUCAUUUCCUUCCCUGACCCUUUCUGUAUCUCCAUAUCCCGAGCCUCGAAUCCCAAGUUUUCAUUUCUUUGUCCUCUGCUUCGCUGAUGGGGUCUCGAGGCUUGCUCUCACUCCCCACUUGA